CUCAUUCACUAUUAUCCAAACUCAGUUGCAGUCUAUUAAGACUUCAUAAACUACUUCGAAAUCAUGUCUGAAACUCAUUUCGACGAAUUCGAGCACUACAAUUUUUCUGAGGACAACAAACUCUACUCAAAUCACAGUGGCCGUCUGCGUUCAAAGAAGGAGGCCGAGCAACACACCAACAGAUUUGAUCCCAAUGGACAUACUCGUAAAAUUGAAACUAAACUACACAAUACGGA